UACGAAGGGGACUAGCGUUGUUCGGAAUUACUGGGCGUAAAGGGCGCGUAGGCGGGAUGGCAAGUCGGUCGUGAAAUCCCUCGGCUCAACCGAGGAACGUCGAUCGAUACUGCUGUUCUUGAGGAUUGCAGAGGAGACUGGAAUUCCCGGUGUAGCGGUGAAAUGUGUAGAGAUCGGGAGGAACACCGGUGGCGAAGGCGGGUCUCUGGGCAAUUCCUGACGCUGAGGCGCGAAAGCGUGGGGAGCAAACGGG
rnacentral:rRNA from 1 species